UAACGAAUAUUCCGCAAUGGGCGAAAGCCUGACGGAGCAAUGCCGCGUGUGGGAUGAAGCAUCUCGGUGUGUAAACCACUGUCAGGGGCCACCAACUCAAUGAGGAACCCCAAAGGAAGAGCCGGCUAACUCUGUGCCAGCAGCCGCGGUAAUACAGAGGGCUCGAGCGUUACACGGAUUCAUUAGGCUUAAAGCGUGCGCAGGCGGAACAGUCAGUGCUUUGUGAAAGCCCCCGGCUCAACCGGGGAAUUGCUCGGCAUACUGCUGUUCUUGAGGUCGGUAGGGGCCAUCGGAACGAUAGGUGGAGCGGUGAAAUGCGUAGAUAUCUAUCGGAACGCCAAAGGCGAAGGCAGAUGGCUGGGCCGAUUCUGACGCUCAUGCACGAAAGCGUGGGGAGCGAACGGGAUUAGAUACCCCCGUAGUCC
rnacentral:rRNA from 1 species